CGCUGAAUUUAAGCAUAUAAUUAAGCGGAGGAAAAGAAACUAACCAGGAUUCCCUCAGUAAGGGCGACUGAAGCGGGAAGUGCUCAAGAUGUGAAUCUGCGCCUACUUUGUAAGCGCCGAAUUGUGGUCUGUAGACGGUGGCAUUACCAGCCGGGCCAAGUCCUUUGGAACAGGGCAGCUAAGAGGGUGAGACUCCCGUCCGCCUGGCAGGGUGAGCUACUAGUCAACGAGUCGAGUUGUUUGGGAUUGCAGCUCUAAGUGGGUGGUAAAUUCCAUCUAAAGCUAAAUAUUGGUGGGAGACCGAUAGCGUACAAGUACCGUGAGGGAAAGAUGCAAAGAACUUUGAAAAGAGAGUUAAAGAGUACCUGAAAUUGCUGAAAGGGAAGCGAAGGAAACCAGUGUCUGGCUUGGUCAUAUUUCCCUGUCCGCUUGCGGUUUGGGCGCUGUGUCCAGUCUGGGUUGUCCUUGGUUGGUGCCUGUGGAAGAGCGCAGUGAGAGUUGAUCUCUGUUGCUAGCAUUGGCUCCGACUGAGGAGGACGAAAUGGUUUUCUUUACCCCGUCUUGAAACACGGACCAAGGAGUCUAACAUAUGUGCGAGUACAGGGGUGGCAAACCCCCGUGCGCAAUGAAAGUGACAGUGGUUGGACAGCAAUGGCACAAUCCGCCGGCCUCAAUCCCUCGGGAGAACGGUCUGAGUGUGAGCAUACAUGUUGGGACCCGAAACGAUGGUGAAUCUAUGCCUGAAUAGGGUGAAGCCAGGGGAAACUCUGGUGGAGGCUCGUAGCGAUUCUGACGUGCAAAUNCGAUCGUCAAAUUUGG
rnacentral:rRNA from 1 species